UCUCCCACCCUACCCGAUCCAUACUUGCCUUUCUCCAUCUCUCUCUCUCACAUGCUCUCUGCUCUGCUAGGGCCGAACGGCUGCCCUCCGAUGGUCGCCGACAUGCAGACACCCGAUCAGGAGUACCAGACGCCGCUGAAACUCCAGCCUCGCGAGCCCUUCGUUGCCGUUCUCCGCCGCGAGCAGAAGCCUCCAGCUGGUGGAGUGGUGGCCUCGCAGGGGUCGCGACGGUGGGGGCAUUGAACAAUCUGAGGUAUGCCCCUCAAUCUGUCGCAGAUGGUGGAGCGGUGGCCUCGCAGGGGUGGAGACGGUGGUCUCUGCUCUAAAGGGAUACUACUGGGUUAACUGCUGAGAAUAAGGAGCUCAAAAUGCAGUUACAGGCUAUGGAGCUACAAGCACAACUCAGAGAGGGAAUGAAUCCAUGUUGCUAUUUUCUGAGAGAAAUUAUGGACUAUUCAAGGCUGAUGGCACCAUUUCAUAUGACAUUGGGUUUCAUGGACUUGAUUCUUCAUCUGCAUAUUCAUUAUGUUUAUCCCCGAAGGAUGAAGGCCUUCACGAUUCAAGUAAAAUUGCUGCUUUCAAUUUUGAUGGAUGUCUUGCAAACACUUCUGUUAGAAGGGUAGGUCCGGAUGCUUGGUCUCUGAUGUAUCCUUCAAUACUUGCUAAGCUACAGAGCCUGUACAAUGAUGGCUAUAAACUGUUAUUGCAUGGGAAGAAAAGUAAAGCACGAGGUCCCUGAAGAUUGAGUCUGUGAAUCUGGGAAGAGAGAUGAAGCUGUCACAAUAGCAAUGAGCAAGGGGAAAUUGUCAAUUUCACAGCUUCAUUCCAAGAAGAAAAAGCCAGUAGAAACUGGUAAAGUUAAGUUCAUUCCUCAUGAAGAAAUCCUUAAGCUAUCUUCAGAGACCUUCAACGAGUCAAGAGGUGAAAAUCAAGUUGACAAAGAAUAAAAAAAAUCUACACUGUUGGAUCUCUGUCUAUUCUCUAAUAGCUGAUGGAUAAGCUCAAAAGCAUUUUCUUAUCCUUCUUGAGGGGUAUAAUGUAUGUAUAUCACUUGUUAUGAACCUGUGCUUCAAGUGCAUUUUAUCUUACUAUUGGUGAUGUGGACAAAUAUUUAGAAAGCAAUUCAUUUGCACUUACUUUUUCUGAUGUCCUUAAAUACUUCCAGAAAUAACUCGAACAAAAUGGCAGCAUGUAUCUAGCAAAGUUGGAAUUUCAAAUAAAAAGAUAGAGAAGAAACGAGUCAAAGAACCAUGCACAUUGUUGCCAUCAUCACUUGAUGGUAGUGCAGGUGGUAAAACUAAGGAUGUUCAAGGAGACCUGCCAAAUUUCCCACUUAGUUUUACCUUGUAUAUCACAUAUUUUCUGAGGCUGUCUUUGUUGUUCUCUGUUUGUAGUUUUAUGUCUUAUAUGUACUAUCUUAGUCUAAGGCUGUCUAGACUGUAAUACAGUACAGGCGAUUUUUUAUCAUCUUUUUUUAAUACAA